CUCCCUGUGUAAACUUAAAAGCUAGUUUAAGGGAAAACUGAAAUAAUCCUUUGCUAGAUUAUUCUUAAGGUAAAGCUUAAUAAAUUGUCUUGUUUCCACAG